rnacentral:lncRNA from 10 species
UUUACGUCAAGAUCAACUUAUUCUUCAAAUCAUUUCACUCAUGGACAAGCUGUUACGGAAAGAAAAUCUGGACUUGAAAUUGACACCUUAUAAGGUGUUAGCCACCAGUACAAAACAUGGCUUCAUGCAGUUUAUCCAGUCAGUUCCUGUGGCUGAAGUUCUUGAUACAGAGGGAAGCAUUCAGAACUUUUUUAGAAAAUAUGCACCAAGUGAGAAUGGGCCAAAUGGGAUUAGUGCUGAGGUCAUGGACACUUACGUUAAAAGCUGUGCUGGAUAUUGCGUGAUCACCUAUAUACUUGGAGUUGGAGACAGGCACCUGGAUAACCUUUUGCUAACAAAAACAGGAGGCUGAGGCAGGAGAAUCGCUUGAACCCGGGAGGCGGAGGUUGCAGUGAGCCGAGAUUGCACCAUUGCACUGCAGACUAGGCAACAAGAUCAAAACGCCAUCUUAG